GUCGUGAGAUGUUGGGUUAAGUCCCGCAACGAGCGCAACCCUUGUCCCUAGUUGCUACGCAAGGGCACUCUAGGGAGACUGCCGGUGACAAACCGGAGGAAGGUGGGGAUGACGUCAAGUCCUCAUGGCCCUUAUGGGUAGGGCCUCACACGUCAUACAAUGGCCGGUACAGAGGGUUGCCAAACCGCGAGGUGGAGCCAAUCCCAGAAAGCCGGUCGUAGUCCGGAUUGCAGUCUGCAACUCGACUGCAUGAAGUCGGAAUCGCUAGUAAUCGCGGAUCAGCAUGUCGCGGUGAAUACGUUCCCGGGUCUUGUACACACCGCCCGUCACACCAUGGGAGUGGGGUGCACCAGAAGUAGGUAGGCUAACCGCAAGGAGGCCGCUUACCACGGUACGCUUCAUGACUGGGGUGAAGUCGUAACAAGGUAGCCGUAUCGGAAGGUGCGGCUGGAUCACCUCCUUUCUCGGAAGCAGGGAUCAGGGAUUCAGUAUCAGGGCUCACGCUCGAAUGCUGGACACCUGCAUCCCCAACCUCUUCCAAGUGCCCACGCUUAUCGGUUGUUGCCGCAUGGAGUCAUGGCGGUCAUUUGAUGACGAACUCGGGGCCUGUAGCUCAGUUGGUUAGAGCACCGUCUUGAUAAGGCGGGGGUCGAUGGUUCGAAUCCAUCCAGACCCACCAGGGUGCGAGAUGGCGCGGAUCGCGAGCCAAUCAAGGCGCGAUGCGCCGAGCAGCAAAGAGUGGCGGGUCGCGAGCCAAUCGAGGCGCGAGGUGCCGACGUGUACAAAGGGCGUACACGAGGCGCCGAGCAACGAAGAGUGGCGAAGCGAGAGGGGCUGUAGCUCAGUUGGGAGAGCGCCUGCUUUGCAAGCAGGAGGUCAUCGGUUCGAUCCCGUUCAGCUCCACCAACAACGCGCAGGAGGUCGACCAUCGUUGUUCGUCAAACCCGGAGAGACCGCAAGCAAGCGCAGUCGUUUGCUUCUGGUCUUUCGGCCAGUCCGACUCAGUUGUCCUUGAUGUUCGGUUGUUCUUUAACAAAACGGAAGAAGUAAAGCGCACACGACGGAGCAUUGUCGUGUGCUGGGUUAGAUUGUAUCGACCCGAUCUCCCUCGAGUUCUGGGAGGUUGGGUAUCGCAAACACCCGUGACGCAGUGUUCAGCGUUAUGGGAUCAAGCGACUAAGUGCAUGUGGUGGAUGCCUUGGCGAUCACAGGCGAUGAAGGACGUGGCAGCCUGCGUUAAGCCCCGGGGAGCUGGCAAACGAGCUUUGAUCCGGGGAUGU
rnacentral:sRNA from 1 species